GGCAACUCAAAACGAAGAACCCGAAGGCGAAGAAAAGAACGCAAACAUACACAAUCUGAGACAAGGUUAAGAAUUCCACGUCUUUGUAACAAUUUUGGUUUAGAGUCAAAAUCCAAUCAAGUUUAUCAGGAGCCAACGCGCUAUCAAAAGAAUAUCACCAAUGUGAAAACUAAUAAAACUAAAAUGAAGUCAAAAUACACACAAACAGAGAGUAGAGGUAAUCUUGAUGCUGCUACCAUGCCCAAGUCACCAAAACCACUACAGAGGCCACGAGCUCAGAAAUUGCAGCCGAAUAAAAAUAAAUCUCGGGCAAUUGAAUCUCCAUUUUUCAAAACGGAUCUCGUUGAUAUCAUUUGUUCGAAACAUGAAGAUAAUUUAGAAGUAUUAUUUAAAAGUCCAACUAAAUCUGUGGUGUCGUCAGUACUGAAUUUAGUUCCAAACUCCAGUAAAACAUGUGCAAAAAAGAAAAUGAUUAAACCAUGGAAAUAAGGUUUUGUUGUAUUCUCACUAUAUUUAAUUUUAUGUAAACUAUCUCGAAUACUAUACAUACCGUACAAAAGAUGCGUGAAUUAAUUAUAUAUUUAUAAAAAUUAUUACUUGCCUACUUUACUAAUGUUUAGUAGAAAUUUAUUUUUAUAUAAGAUUUAGUUUAUUUUGGUCGUAUGAAUAAAUAUAUUU